UACGUAGGGCGCAAGCGUUGUCCGGAAUUAUUGGGCGUAAAGAGCUCGUAGGUGGCUUGUCACGUCGGGUGUGAAAGCUUGGGGCUUAACUCCAGGUCUGCAUUCGAUACGGGCUGGCUAGAGGUAGGUAGGGGAGAACGGAAUUCCUGGUGUAGCGGUGAAAUGCGCAGAUAUCAGGAGGAACACCGGUGGCGAAGGCGGUUCUCUGGGCCUCACCUGACGCUGAGGAGCGAAAGCGUGGGGAGCGAACAGG
rnacentral:rRNA from 1 species